UCCGAGGGGUGUGCGUGUCUGGAAAAUGUGAGCCCAUUGGAUGUGAUGGGGUUCUGUUCUCCCCCCACGUUCUGGAUAAAUGCGGGGUCUGCCAAGGGAACGGCAGCAGCUGCACUCAUGUAACAGGGAGCUACCGGAAGGGCAAUGCUCCGCUUGGAUACUCUUUGGUGACUCACAUUCCUG